rnacentral:rRNA from 1 species
CAUGAGUCGAGCGGACAGAUGGGAGCUUGCUCCCUGAUGUUAGCGGCGGACGGGUGAGUAACACGUGGGUAACCUGCCUGUAAGACUGGGAUAACUCCGGGAAACCGGGGCUAAUACCGGAUGGUUGUUUGAACCGCAUGGUUCAAACAUAAAAGGUGCCUUCGGCUACAACUUAAAGAUGGACCCGCGGGGCAUUAGCUAGUUGGUGAGAUAACGGCUCACCAAGGCAACGAUGCGUAGCCGACCUGAGAGGGUGAUCGGCCACACUGGGACUGAGACACGGCCCAGACUCCUACGGGAGGCAGCAGUAGGGAAUCUUCCGCAAUGGACGAAAGUCUGACGGAGCAACGCCGCGUGAGUGAUGAAGGUUUUCGGAUCGUAAAGCUCUGUUGUUAGGGAAGAACAAGUGCCGUUCAAAUAGGGCGGCACCUUGACGGUACCUAACCAGAAAGCCACGGCUAACUACGUGCCAGCAGCCGCGGUAAUACGUAGGUGGCAAGCGUUGUCCGGAAUUAUUGGGCGUAAAGGGCUCGCAGGCGGUUUCUUAAGUCUGAUGUGAAAGCCCCCGGCUCAACCGGGGAGGGUCAUUGGAAACUGGGG